UAGAGUUUGAUCAUGGCUCAGGAUGAACGCUAGCGGCAGGCUUAACACAUGCAAGUCGAGGGGCAGCACUCGUAGCAAUACAUGGUGGCGACCGGCGCAAGGGUGCGUAACGCGUGAGCAACAUGCCCGUAUCAGGGGGAUAAUCCAGGGAAACUUGGUCUAAUACCGCAUAAUAAACUUAGGAGGCAUCUCUUUGAGUUUUAAAAUUUCGAUGGAUACGGAUUGGCUCGCGUGACAUUAGUCAGAUGGUAAGGUAACGGCUUACCAUAACUAUGAUGUCUAGGGGUUCUGGGAGGAAGGUCCCCCACACUGGAACUGAGACACGGUCCAGACUCCUACGGGAGGCAGCAGUGAGGAAUAUUGGACAAUGGAUGGAAAUCUGAUCCAGCCAUGCCGCGUGCAGGAAGACGGUCCUAUGGAUUGUAAACUGCUUUUUUAUGGGAGCAAUAAGGUCUACGUGUAGAUCGAUGAGAGUACCAUAAGAAUAAGCACCGGCUAACUACGUGCCAGCAGCCGCGGUAAUACGUAGGGGGCGAGCGUUGUCCGGAGUUACUGGGCGUAAAGAGCGUGUAGGCGGUUGAAAAAGUCAGGUGUGAAAUUCUUCGGCUCAACCGAGGGACUGCGUCUGAAACUUUUCGACUGGAGUUUGGGAGGGGCAACUGGAAUUCCUGGUGUAACGGUGAAAUGUGUAGAUAUCAGGAGGAACACCCGUGGCGAAGGCGGGUUGCUGGACCAAAACUGACGCUGAGACGCGAAAGCGUGGGUAGCAAACAGGAUUAGAUACCCUGGUAGUCCACGCUGUAAACGAUGAGUGCUAGGUGUAGGGGGUAUCGACUCCUUCUGUGCCGCAGUUAACGCAUUAAGCACUCCGCCUGGGGAGUACGGCCGCAAGGUUAAAACUCAAAGGAAUUGACGGGGGCCCGCACAAGCGGUGGAGUAUGUGGUUUAAUUCGAUGAUACGCGAGAAACCUUACCUGGUCUUGACAUGUAGAGAACCCUUAAGAGAUUAGGGGGUGCCUGCUUGCAGGAGCUCUAACACAGGUGGUGCAUGGUUGUCGUCAGCUCGUGUCGUGAGAUGUUGGGUUAAGUCCCGCAACGAGCGCAACCCUUGUUGCUAGUUACCAGCACGUAAUGGUGGGAACUCUAGCGAGACUGCCGGUGACAAACCGGAGGAAGGUGGGGACGACGUCAAAUCAUCACGCCCCUUACGACCAGGGCCACACACGUACUACAAUGCCCGGUACAGCGAGCUGCGAAGCUGCGAAGCUGAGCUAAUCUCUUAAAACCGGGCCAAGUUCAGAUCGGAGGCUGCAAUUCGCCUCCGUGAAGCUGGAAUCGCUAGUAAACGCAAAUCAGCAUGUUGCGUUGAAUACGUUCUCGGGCCUUGUACACACCGCCCGUCACACCAUGGAAGCCAGUAACACCCGAAGCCGGUGAGCUAACGCAAGAGGCAGCUGUCGAAGGUGGGAUUGGUGACUGGGGUGAAGUCGUAACAAGGUAACCCUAA
rnacentral:rRNA from 1 species